AUACGGAGGAUCCAAGCGUUAUACGGAAUCAUUGGGUUUAAAGGGUCCGUAGGCGGGUUUGUAAGUCAGUGGUGAAAGUUUUCGGCUCAACCGGAAAAUUGCCAUUGAUACUGCAAGUCUCGAAUCAUUAUGAAGUGGUUAGAAUGUGUAGUGUAGCGGUGAAAUGCAUAGAUAUUACACAGAAUACCGAUUGCGAAGGCAGAUCACUAAUAAUGUGUUGACGCUAAGGGACGAAAGCGUGGGUAGCGAACAGGAUUAGAAACCCCGGUAGUCC
rnacentral:rRNA from 1 species